rnacentral:rRNA from 1 species
CCUACGGGGGGCAGCAGUGGGGAAUAUUGCACAAUGGGGGAAACCCUGAUGCAGCGACGCCGCGUGAAGGAAGAAGUAUUUCGGUAUGUAAACUUCUAUCAGCAGGGAAGAAAAUGACGGUACCUGACUAAGAAGCCCCGGCUAACUACGUGCCAGCAGCCGCGGUAAUACGUAGGGGGCAAGCGUUAUCCGGAUUUACUGGGUGUAAAGGGAGCGUAGACGGCAAUGCAAGUCUGGAGUGAAAGGCGGGGGCCCAACCCCCGGACUGCUCUGGAAACUGUAUAGCUGGAGUGCAGGAGAGGUAA